rnacentral:rRNA from 1 species
UACGUAGGGUGCGAGCGUUAAUCGGAAUUACUGGGCGUAAAGCGUGCGCAGGCGGCUUUGCAAGACAGAUGUGAAAUCCCCGGGCUUAACCUGGGAACUGCAUUUGUGACUGCAUGGCUGGAGUGCGGCAGAGGGGGAUGGAAUUCCGCGUGUAGCAGUGAAAUGCGUAGAUAUGCGGAGGAACACCGAUGGCGAAGGCAAUCCCCUGGGCCUGC